UACAUGGUCCGGUGCUGUGUGGAAGACUCGUGAUUUUGUUGUUCUGAUCUUGCACGACAACAAAUCACAGCCAGCCUCACAGCGAGGACUCCCAUCGACCUU
ensembl:miRNA